GAUGAAGAACGUAGUGAAAUGCGAUACGUAAUGUGAAUUGCAGAAUUCAGUGAAUCAUCGAGUCUUUGAACGCACAUUGCGCCCCCUGGUAUUCCGGGGGGCAUGCCUGUCCGAGCGUCAUUGCUGCCCUCAAGCACGGCUUGUGUGUUGGGCCUCCGUCCUCCUCCCGGGGGACGGGCCCGAAAGGCAGCGGCGGCACCGCGUCCGGUCCUCGAGCGUAUGGGGCUUUGUCACCCGCUCUGUAGGCCCGGCCGGCGCCUGCCGAUCAACCCAAAUUUUUUAUCCAGGUUGACCUCGGAUCAGGUAGGGAUACCCGCUGAACUUAAGCAUAUCAAUAAGCGGAGGA
rnacentral:misc_RNA from 1 species